UAUAUUAAUUAUUUGGAAAACAAAUAAGUUUUGAUUUUUUCUUUCUCCUUUGUUUUACUUGGAAAAUGUGUUUGACACGGCGGAGUGAAUUACAUUGCGCAUUUUUGGUGUUGUAUUAUGAGUUGGUUUUGACCUUGAGUCCCACCCAGUCACCCGUGUAUCAAAAACGGCAAAUUUCUCAGUUAAAUCUUUGUUCUUUUCACUUCACAAAUAUCAGUUGCAUGAAUUCUAUGUUUGGAUGAGGGAUAUCAUACUCAUCUACAAUUAAAGAAGCUCAAUUUGUUUAGGUAAUGGCUUACAGAGUUUCAGGUCAAUAGAAUCAGCUUUGAGGUAAAUUUUUAUGAUUGUUUGCUCUUAUUUACCAAUAAUAAUAUAACUAUUUGAAAAUGAAAGAUAAAAGCAUUGGGUGGGUUAUUGUGUGAUUUUUUUUUUCUCACGUUGUUGAUAAAAAUGGCUUGACUUUGGAUCUUGAGAGUCCAAUUUACCAGUGAGGGCCCAUAGGGGAAAUUAUAUUCUUAAGUAGGUGUGUUGAAAUAGAACAGCCACUUUCCUAUCUCGGAGUAUGCUUUUCAUGCAGUCGUCAAUUUUUAUUCUAGGUGAUAUGUUGACAAAAAAUACAUUAAUUUCUUCCUUUCAAUUUAGAGGCAGGGUUGAAGCAUGUUUUAAUUUUUUGUUGCAGGAUUCGUGCGGAGAGGUUCAAUCUGUAAUCAGUUUCUUCAAACCGGAGGUUGUUUUUUUGGAGCUUUGUUCAAGUCGAGUGUCUAUACUUACCCUUAAAGAUUUAAAGGUUGAAUACCUUGAUUAUUGCAAGAAAGGAGGCUUUGUCACCAGCUAUAUAUGCAUCUGUCCAAGUGAAGGGAGAAGAAUAGUUCUAUACUGUCGUCUAGAGACACAAAAAACACCCAGAAGAGUAUUUAAAACAUUUGAAUGGCUUCCUUACAUAUUUUGGGAAGGUGAAAUGAGAUUCUUAUGCUUGUACUGCAAUGAGAGAUGUCAACCAUUUAGCAGCUUGAGGCAGUUAGGAAGCACAUAGCAAAGUCGUUAUGGUGAUGGAGGUGAUGAGGUGGAAUUAGAAGAGUUUCAUGACUAUAACAGCAGGACCAACGGGAGGAGAAUCGGAUUGAGGAGACACAUCAGGUGGAACCGAGAGAAGGUUAUGUGAGUAGGAGCAGAUGUUAGGAACCGAGGGAAGGUUUAUCCUCACUACGCGUACUCCUUUUGAAUCUCCUCCCUAUCAAUUCGUCUCUUUCUCCCUGGUUAUGUAUGAUAAAUUGACCGGAAUGAGCAUAGAGUUUGGAUUUGUGGCUGUUGAUAUCCUUGAUUCAAAAGAAGAGGAGUCAGGCUGACAUGAAUGACAGAAAUUUUCUUUUUGAUUCCGAGAACUGGACCCGUGAAUAUCUUUGUGCGACUUUUGUAGGUGACAUUGAGUCAAUGUCAUUUAUUGAAGCGUUUCGGACAUUAUCUUUUACUGUUGG